CCGUGGGGGAGUGAAGGUCUUCGGAUUGUAAACCCUUCGGAGGGAAGAUGGAAUGGGGUAACCCAUUCGGACGGUACCUCCAGAAGCAGCCACGGCUAACUUCGUGC
rnacentral:rRNA from 1 species